GCUUCUGAACAUUUCUUUUAAGAAGGUUUAAAACGAAGGUCACUUUAUACAAGGAGAAUGCUGUUUUAAAGAGACUUUUUAACUUGGUUUGAUUUGAUCUUUAACUGUUUUUUAAAAUGUUUUUAUUUGUCAUUAUGUUUUAUAGUUUCUUUGCCAUUAUUGGUAUCUUAUCAUUUUUAAUUUUAACACUUUAAUUAUAAAAGAUGCUUGAAUGUUUCUGCGAGUCAGGUAAACCCAUCACUGUCAAUUUUGCUUGCAUAAAUCAGCAUUUGAUGGCUCAUCUGUUCCUGUCGUUUUGCCUUUUGCCAGAUUUUUCUUUGUCUCAAACACUCUUCUGUUUCACCACUACGUUCAAAAAAAACUAUUGGGAAAUGCAGCAGGCUAACAAAUGACCGCAGGUUACAACAAAAUGAUGACGUCCCUGCCCAGCAAAUUUGCGCUUGGCCCAGAAUGAGACAAGAACAAAUUUGUUUCUGUGCACAGUUGACCGGGUGGCAGCAGGCCCAGCGAAAGCAAAAUAUAAGGUAAUAGUGAAACACAGAACUGGGAGUACACAGAUAGCAUGUUGCACUGCACAAACAAUGCAAAUCAUUAAAUGUAGUACUCCUGAAAAAUCUCUGAAAAAAUGUACCAUUCUGUCUGUGGGUUAAAGUAAUAAUGUACAAAUAACUCUUAAACACUAGUAAUCCUUUUGUAGUUUGCUACAAACCGCUGAAAAUGAGGUAUGAAAUUAAAAAAAUGGAAAACGAUGCAAUUUAGCUCGUUAAAGUGAAGACAGACAAACCACAAAUUACCGUACCAGUAUUUAAUUUUAGUCUUUGGUGGUACACUUUACACAUCUGCCCACAGCAAAAGCAUGUUAAGAAAACCUCAUUUUGUACACAUGUGCAAACACAUCUGGGCCCUUUAACAUCAGCUUAAACACUUCCCCUUGCUUCUCUGACCCUCGUGCAUCUGGUAGCACAUAAUGAACACGUACAGUAUGCAGCUCUGUUGAUUGUUUGGUGAGAGUUCGAUGUAUGCCUAAAUUCACAUAAUCCUGCAUCCCACUUGCCACUGAAUGUAAUCUGGCUCUGAGACCCAGCCAGACUUUGGAUGUUAGACCAGAUGCUGUGAGCAAGGCAGAGACAGUCUCUGACAUCAAAUGACUACAUUAAAAUAAGAUUGAAUCUACAGCAUCGCUUCUAGUUUUCUUUACUAUGGCAGCUAUAAAAUGCUGUUGGCCACAUUUAAAUAUUUAUUAUAGCCUUUGUUUUUUACAACACUCUGGUUUUCUACAAUAAAUUUCUUAAAUAUUACAAACUGAGCACACUAGAAAAACAGAAUUCAGGUUUCAGUAAUGCAGGAACUGAAGCCAGCAUAAUGUUCGCUCUCUCUGCAAGUCUCCUUGGUCUAACGGUCUUGACAGAAGGAUCAGGUGUCUCUCUGUUGCUUCAGGAAACAAACACUCCUCUUCUGUCCUGCAUCUUUUCUGUUUUCUCGUCUUCUUUUUUUUUUCACUCUGUCUUCCUCUUUCACUGCUUCUAUGCCGUUGGCUCUAUCACAUUUUACACUGUAAAGAAGCGACUGUACUGCUGCGCACCUGCCAAAGCUCAUGGAAGUGGAGAAAAAGUGGACCGGGAGUGAUUUAGGUCAGUGGUUCAGGUGAGCAGUACUGAGUCCAAAGAAGAAGCUGUCUGUACUACAUUUAGACACGGAUCAAUUGAUCGUCUCCUGCUCCCUGUGAUGGCAUCUUGAUUAUGCUGGUACAAGCCUCUUGGUGUGUAUGUGUGUUGACAGUAUGUAAGUGCAUUCAGCAUUUAAUCGUGACCGAUUUAAUUAAUUUCCAGGCAGACUGCUGUGGCCCAGACUCUCCCUAAUCACUUCAGAUCUUUAGCAAUGCCAUCACUCUGAUCCUGAGCUUCUCUGUGCUGGGCCAUUUAUUGAUUAAACACAUGCGAUGGAAAUCAAGACAAUAAUCGGUGUUGAUAAACGCAUGUCCUGAUUUUGGUUAACCGACAUUUUUCAGGAUCAGAUACUUUUGCUGCCAAUAGCUUCGAUUUGUGACACAUUUAGCAACAAUUUAGUACUGACCUUGCCACUCAGUUGCAGUAAAAUCAAUAAAAAUACAUUUAUAAUUGGGAGAAAAAGGAAAAAAGACAAGCUUUAUUAUAAAUAUCAUCUGAAACUAAUAUAACACUGUGGAUGCUAAGGAAAAGAGACUGGUAGGGUAGUUUUUUUUUACAGGUGGGUCAUCAGAUUCUUGGGGCAAAGUGAGUCUGAUGUUCACAUUGACACCAGUCAAGAGCAUGAAAAUGAAUGAACCGCCAUUCUGUCUGUAGUGACAGUACUCACUAAUAUCUGCUUUUACCAUUUGAAGGCCAAAAUCACCCAAAUUCUAACCACCAGCUGAUUGUGUGCAGGCCUCAGUCAGUUACAGAGGCCUGUAACAGCAACGUGCUAAAACAAAUGUGUUAAAAAUCCUUUUCCCUCUGCACACACAUGCCACCUCAAUAUGCCACUAUGUCCCUUCGGCCCAGCACUCCAAUUCUCAGAAAGAAUCGACUGGUGCGUCAAAGCCUCGCCAUUUGCCCUUUCUGCCAAAGCUUUUUUUGCGCCCACCUCUUCCACCUGCCCUACUCCCAGCUCCCUCCUUCUGCACCUCGAGCAUCAUCUCCCUCCAACCCCGGGUCAUCCUACACCUCCAUUCCUCCAGAGUGAACGUUUUUGACGUGUGCAUCCAUCCUGCUGAAACCACACAGACUGUUCUUCAAUUCUCUCAAGGACCCCUGGAGGUCCACUGACCACGGUUUGGCCCACCGUGCAUGGGUCUACACGAUGGUGUUGGUGCGUGAUGCAGUGACAAAGCAUCACAGGUCCCUAAUCCUGUCCCACGUCCCGGAGAUCGCAGGAUUGUUUCAGCUUCCAGUCCAUGAUCUGGCCAAUCACAGGAGCUGUCAUCAGGCAGAGCAGCUGCAGCACGCCGAAGAUGGAGGAGUACAAACUCACUGAGGGAGGCACACGAAUGAGGAUAAAAUGAAAUCAAAAAAGUAAAGGAGGUCCAUGGUGGAGAGGCACAGAUUGGGUCCGUCUGUAGUAGCCACCUCCUUCUGCUUCGGGCUGCUGGCCACACUCAGCCGGCGGCCCACUGUGGUCACUUGCUGGUAGAAC